rnacentral:lncRNA from 1 species
CAUUGUAAUACCUUUAAACAAAAUAAUCCACAAAUACUGAAUGCAUCAAACAUAACGUUUUAAUUAACUUCGAUUAUUAGAAUUGAACAUGCAUUUAGUCAACAAACUUCCAAAGCCUUCUCUAGCACUAUUUGAUUGUUCACGAAUUUUCGUUUUCAUGAUAUUUGAUAAUUUUUUAACGCCUACUAACUGUUUAACAAGUACAUCCUAG